GAGAGUUUGAUUCUGGCUCAGGAUGAACGCUGGCGGCGUGCUUAACACAUGCAAGUCGAACGGGAAUUACUUUAUUGAAACUUCGGUCGAUUUAAUUUAAUUCUAGUGGCGGACGGGUGAGUAACGCGUGGGUAACCUGCCUUAUACAGGGGGAUAACAGUCAGAAAUGACUGCUAAUACCGCAUAAGCGCACGGAACCGCAUGGUUCUGUGUGAAAAACUCCGGUGGUAUAAGAUGGACCCGCGUUGGAUUAGCUUGUUGGUGAGGUAACGGCUCACCAAGGCGACGAUCCAUAGCCGGCCUGAGAGGGUGAACGGCCACAUUGGGACUGAGACACGGCCCAGACUCUUACGGGAGGCAGCAGUGGGGAAUAUUGCACAAUGGGGGAAACCCUGAUGCAGCGACGCCGCGUGAAGGAAGAAGUAUCUCGGUAUGUAAACUUCUAUCAGCAGGGAAGAUAGUGACGGUACCUGACUAAGAAGCCCCGGCUAACUACGUGC
rnacentral:rRNA from 1 species